GGCCUUGUGGUGAAAUUCAUGUUGAGUUGCAAGCUCAUUGAUGUACAGUAAGUGUGCCGAGGCCU
rnacentral:tRNA from 1 species